rnacentral:rRNA from 1 species
UGGGGAAUUUUGGACAAUGGGCGAAAGCCUGAUCCAGCAAUGCCGCGUGUGUGAAGAAGGCCUUCGGGUUGUAAAGCACUUUUGUCCGGAAAGAAAUCCUUGGCUCUAAUACAGUCGGGGGAUGACGGUACCGGAAGAAUAAGCACCGGCUAACUACGUGUCAGCAGCCGCGGUAAUACGUAGGGUGCAAGCGUUAAUCGGAAUUACUGGGCGUAAAGCGUGCGCAGGCGGUUUGCUAAGACCGAUGUGAAAUCCCCGGGCUCAACCUGGGAACUGCAUUGGUGACUGGCAGGCUAGAGUAUGGCAGAGGGGGGUAGAAUUCCACGUGUAGCAGUGAAAUGCGUAGAGAUGUGGAGGAAUACCGAUGGCGAAGGCAGCCCCCUGGGCCAAUACUGACGCUCAUGCACGAAAGCGUGGGGAGCAAACAGGAUUAGAUACCCUGGUAGUCCACGCCCUAAACGAUGUCAACUAGUUGUUGGGGACUUCAUUUCCUUAGUAACGUAGCUAACGCGUGAAGUUGACCGCCUGGGGGAGUACGGUCGCAAGAUUAAAACUCAAA